rnacentral:rRNA from 1 species
UACAGAGGGUGCGAGCGUUAAUCGGAAUUACUGGGCGUAAAGCGCACGUAGGCGGCUUGGUAAGUUGGAUGUGAAAUCCCCGGGCUUAACUUGGGAAUUGCAUUCAAGACUGCCUUGCUAGAGUGUGGGAGAGGGAAGCGGAAUUCCAGGUGUAGCGGUGAAAUGCGUAGAUAUCUGGAGGAACAUCAGUGGCGAAGGCGGCUUUCUGGCCCAACACUGACGCUGAGGUGCGAAAGCGUGGGGAG